GAUGAACGCUGGCGGCGUGCCUAAUACAUGCAAGUCGAGCGAACAGAUGAGGAGCUUGCUCCUCUGACGUUAGCGGCGGACGGGUGAGUAACACGUGGAUAACCUACCUAUAAGACUGGGAUAACUUCGGGAAACCGGAGCUAAUACCGGAUAAUAUAUUGAACCGCAUGGUUCAAUAGUGAAAGACGGUUUUGCUGUCACUUAUAGAUGGAUCCGCGCCGCAUUAGCUAGUUGGUAAGGUAACGGCUUACCAAGGCAACGAUGUGUAGCCGACCUGAGAGGGUGAUCGGCCACACUGGAACUGAGACACGGUCCAGACUCCUACGGGAGGCAGCAGUAGGGAAUCUUCCGCAAUGGGCGAAAGCCUGACGGAGCAACGCCGCGUGAGUGAUGAAGGUCUUCGGAUCGUAAAACUCUGUUAUUAGGGAAGAACAAAUGUGUAAGUGACUAUGCACGUCUUGACGGUACCUAAUCAGAAAGCCACGGCUAACUACGUG
rnacentral:rRNA from 1 species